UCCGCUCCGCUCCACUCCGCGCAGCAACGCGCGCGUCUUUGGGGGAAGGGAAAGAGACAGAGGGAAAUGCUUAUUGCGCGCCGCGCCAUGCGCGGAAGGUGUUCUCGUUGAGCAAACAGCAAAAAUGAAUUAAUAUCACGCGGAAUUUCAAUCGACGUUAAUGACGAGCCGUGCGCCGACCGUGUGUGCACCGAACGUUCAAGCGAGAAAAAGAGAGAAGGAGGAAACACUUGUUGCGCGCGCCAUGGAAGCAAGCUUUUUCCUCUCCUCUCCUGUCGCCCCUUCGCGAGACAAAUAACGAAACAGAUAUGUGGCGAAAUUUCGAUCUGCGUGGGUCAAUAACGUGUUAGACAGGUGUGUGGAUCGAACGAAAAGAGAGAGAGAGAGAGAGAGAGAGAGAGAGAGAGAGAGAGAGAGGGAAUACCUGUUGCGCGCAUCGCGGAAAGACGCUCUUUCCACAAACGAGCGUGGCGAGACCGCGUCAACGUUCGGCAGAAUUUGCGCUAAAGCUAGGGACGGGCGCACGACGAAGAUGACCAACGUUCAGAGUCGAGAUUUAGCGUAAAUACGAGAGAAAUACGAUGAGAGACGCGGAACGAGAGGGACGAGACUUUACCCGCCAUAUUAACGCCUGACGCGAGCGCCGCGCCCCGCGCGCUUCGUUCGUUUACUUUUUUCGACGCGAAUUUCCGAAAUACCGCGCGCUAUCAUAGGUGUCGCUCGAAAAAGUGCGACUGCAUUUGGAAUCGAGCCCCUGAUGACUCGCGAGGGGGUAGAGGGGAGACAGCGUCGCGGUAUCGGUGGUAUACCUGUUUUUGCUCGCUGCGCUACCUGCAGCCUGCCACGAACGAGAGUGGAGGGGAUGCUGGAGAAAGAGAGAGAAAGACAAAGCGGGAGCGAGCGAAAGAGGGAAAUGGCGAGAAAGGGAGAAAUGGAGAAUACGUUGAGUACGUCAGAAACGAGGAGGAAAACGGAUUUCGCGGGUCGACGACGGAAAAUGUACGCGACGCGACGCGGUGUAGCUAUAAUAAGGGAAAGGCGCAAAAGCUCGCGCGUCAGGUACGCAGACGCUCCGAGUGUCACCCUGCUCUCUCUCUCUCCUCUCCGGGCUCCUCGGAAUCCCCGGCUACGCCACGUCCACCAGAGGCGUUUCGCCUCGCCUCGCCUCGCCGCGCUACGCUCAUGGCGGAUCCAUGUGGUUCGCACGUGGAACGAGACGCGCUGCGUCGCGCCGUUGCUCGCGAUCGCCGGUGUACUCACUCGUCACUCCGAAAUACUGCGAGAGAUUCCGUGCGACCGCUAACCGUCGUCAGAUGGGAAAAUGGCGCGAGUGCGUAGGACAUCGGACGCGAGAGAUUUCGUAAGAACCUGCUUCCAGAAUGCACUGAAGUUUUGAUCGUUCGGGCUCGCGCGUGAGUGUCGAUCGUCUUUCUCUCUCUCUCUUUUCUCUCCCUCCUUAACCUUAUAACAAAAUACUCCAUGCGUUGGAUCAGCGCAUCUAUUUCACGUUCCUUCGGAUGACAAACUUGGUGUGAUUUCGUAAUCAGCUCUGCGAUUAUGCGGCGACGUCGUCGAAUUUAUGCGGCUUCCUGUCGCGUAAUACAGGGAGAAAGAGACUCUCCCCUCGCUUCCCUUGCCUCUCAAUGGACGAAUACUACCGCCGGUAACAACUCGGUUGCAAUCGCGUUGCAAAAGCGCCGGAAAUCUCGACUCCUCGAUCGAGCGAUCGCUUUCCUUCGCGAUUGAAUCGCAGCCGCGUACUCGGAAGAAAUCGCGAGGAAACGAUCGCUAUUAAGCAUCGUCGCAAUUAUGAGAGAAAGUGUGGAAAAAUGGCCGAGGAAAGCGGACUCUGCGGAGAAUCGUACAGCCGCGCCGCCGGCGCCGCGCUAAUUGAGCUCUACGUUCGUUGCUUUUUUUCCUCACUCGUCUUUCCAUCUUUUGUCCCAUCUUUUUUAUCCGCGAUUAGUGCGAUUACUGCACUGCCACCGCGCGAGAACGAUCGCUGUCAUGUUCGAAACGUAGCGCUUCAUCGGAAAUACCGCAACGUCCGAUUUCGCCGAGUCACAGCGCACCGCGACCCUCGACGUUUCCUGCCGCCUGCGUUUCUCAAUCUGCAGGCGCAGAGCGAGAAUGUCACGAUGGCGACAAUAAAUUUGCACUUUUUACCCAUAUCGACGCGCAUCGUCGAUGAUGACCCAGUCAGAUUACUCGUGCAUACGUACUCAUGCAUUUUAAGCGUGCUCGUAUAAUAUGUCGUCCCGUUCCUACGCAACGAUCACCGAUUUGCUUGCGUGUGUGCGUGCGUGGUGUGUGUGUGUGUGUGUGUGUGUGUGUGUGUGUGUGUGUGUGUGUGUGCGCGUGUGUGUCGAGUCUGAAAAUAAUUGCGCCAAGAAAGAUAAUAUGUAGAUACUGAAUUACUCGACAAGACGCGGCUCAUCCUCGACGCUUUUACGUCUUGUUUAACCUUUAGCCAAUCUACGAUAAGUAUAUUGAAAAAAAAGAGUCUAGGUACUAAGGUGACAGUUGCUAAACCUUGGUGAAAUAGCUUCAAUUAAAUAUUUAGUUAUAUUUAGUACUCGUUUGGUAAUCAGUUGCUUAUUAUUGUUAUAUUGUCUCUCCGUUUCUCUUUAUUAUUAAUUAUUAUUACUAGGAAAAGGCAGGCGCUCUUUCACUAGCCAAGGAGUGAAAAAGAGAGAGCGACGACAGCUGCCGAUGGAUUUGACGUAGGAAUAUCCGAAGGAGCGAGGCACUCGGAAAUCUCGGAAUUGCUAUUGAGAAGAGAUCGCGUGUCGCGUCGGCGGCGCGGGAUUGGUCAGCCACCUGUUACCCGCCGGCCGCGAUUGGCCGUCGCCAACGGCAACUGAACAACCGCCAAGGGAAGAACGAAUACACUCGGAGCUCUGAUCACGCAGGUCCGAAUGGUGAACGAGAGCUGUUUUUUUACGCGACCGGAGACACAUCUCGGCCGUACGAAAAAUCAUCCGGUUCUCGUCGGAGAUGAUUCCGCGCCGGCGCCGCGGCGUGGGAAUUUAUUAUCUUCGUCAGAUCGAGACUUGGAAAACGAGUUAAUCUCAGGAUCGAAGCUUUAGCGUUCGCGUGUGCGAACUCUUUCUUCGAAUCAUCAUCGGCGAAACGUUUCCUUUUUAGCUAAAAAAAUCGGCAGGAUUGACGCUAAUCGUUUCUCGUCCUAUAUCGAAACCAAAGUCAGUCACCGUCAACUCGUAAAUAACUCGAUACAACACAGAAUACAAUAGGUAUAACAUUUCAGCAAUAUUGCGGCAACAUUGCAACAUUUCAGCGACAUUGCAGAAACAUUACAAAGUUGUCGCAACACUAUUAGAAUCUUUUGUGCUCGAUUUAUUAUAAUUCACGUAACAAAAAAAGAUAAUCAUGCAACGCUUAUUAUUAUUCGAUACAGGAGGAGCGAUAAUUCGGACAGAACGAAUCGUGAAUUUCUAAAUUUUUCGCGAACGAGAUUCUCUUAAGAGAAAUCACGCCGGCUUUUCGUUGAUCCUGGCGGAUUCUCUUCGCCUCUAUCGUAGCUAAGACUGCAGUCUGGGAAGCUAAGCCAGGCUUUAAUUCAGGGACCACUGGCGCGACCGUGUCUUAAUCCCGGAUAAAAUACGGCCCUGACGGAUAAUAAUUAAAGCGGCGUUCAAGUCCUAGCGAGCAAAGUCUGCCUGGAUUCCAGUAUCAGAGAGAUCCGGUUUACACUCUCAGACUCUGUUCCAUGCUCGUCACCGAUAUGAAUAUAUUAUUCUUGUUAAUAUAUUAUUGCAUCAUUGUUAUUAUAUCACUAUCGUUCAAAAUUUAGCAUGCAUCCGAGCAACUUUUUAUCGUCAAUCUUAAUUUAUUUAUCGACAUUGUUUUCUUCACGUAUACGAGAAAAAAGAUUAGUUGCAGUUAGCAGCAACAAAAAUCAAUGUGUGUGUGUGUGUGUGUGUGUGUGUGUGUGUGUGUGUACAUGUUAAAGUUUAACUAUAAUAUACAAUUGAAAUUUAGUUACCAAAUAUAGAUUCUAGCUGCUGCAAUUAAUCUUUUUUUUCCGUGUAACAGUUCGAUACACGUGGCAAAACAGCAUUCCACCAAUACCGAAUAAAACGUGAAAUUAACAAGUUGAAUAACAGAGAUAUCCCGUUUUCGGGUCCUCCACAGUUUCUGAAUCGAAGCUUCGCUUUAAUUUAUAAACCGUUCAAAUAAUAAUUUGAUUAAAAAAAGAUACACAAAAUUUUAUUUUAGAGUUUUUUUUUUUAAUGACCGAUACGCUUUUUCUUAAUGAUCAAAUGAGCACUUAAUUAUUGUAUUACGCGUUUAGCGAUGAGUACGUAUGUAUAUACAUGCAAACACAAGCGCACGUAAAUAUAUCGAGAAAGAACGCAAAAGGGAUGUUUUGCGUCGAGAAAUCGCGCAAUUUUUAUGACAUUUCAGAAUUCAGACUCCCGAGAUCUAGCUACAGUCGAUCGACUACUCCGGGAUUCAGCCUGGGAUUUUUUUUUUUUUUAUCAGAAAUCCGUAACCAAAGUUCUCGCGGCCAUAACAAUUCUACCUUCUGCCAUUUCUCUGAACCAAAAACAAGAUUCGCGGCAAGUCAGGCAAAAGACGGGUGUAACGUUAAAGGGACGACGAGGUCGAUCCACUUUGGGACUCCUUUUACAUGCGGCGUAAGAGGACGGAGAACGGAUUCAUCGUUGCGGGGAACUUUCUCCCGGACAGGCGUUCAACGCUCGUAUACGUGGCUCUUGUGUCUGGCCACGUAACUUUCGAAACGACAGGACAGGUCUCUCGCAGAUUGCCAGUACAUUCCUUUCAACGAUGCCCAUGGAACUGAUCCUUACGUCCUCGCGACCUCGAGAACCCUCGCGUAUAAAAGUGUGUACGCGCAUCUCGUUAACACUUUGACUAUACCAAGCUGAUUUCAAUAUCGAGCUCAAUAAAUCUAGUAUUUUUAUAAUUUGUUUUUCUUAACGUCUUAACGUAAUUUAUAUUGUUUCUUUGAUAUUUGAAAAAAUAUAUAUAUAAAUUACAAUAAGUCAUCUUAAAUACUUGGUAAAAUUAUUCUUGAUCGGGUAAAACUGUCACGCACCAAUGAAUGAUGGAAAUUUACACGUCACAUGGAUACAUGAGCAAUUUUGACAUGGCAGCAAAGUGUUAAAAUUAUGAAAAAGUUGUACAUCAUAAGAAUAUGUUAUCUUUAAAUUUUGAAAAUUAUUUAUCAUUUACAGGAUUUUAGAAACUUGAAAAAAUUGCAAAUUUAUAUUUUUAUCCAGUUUUUAGAAAUCUUAAAAACAAAACCGAUAUAAAUUAAUAUUGUAAAUCGUUAAAAAUUAUAAAAUUUAUGACCCAAGAUUAUCACGUUUUUUAACGAAACAUUUAUGGGAAAUGCAAAACGGUGACUAUGCAACUUAAACAUGGAUUAUGUGAUUAAUUUGAAGUUUUAACAUAUAAUAUUUUUAAUAAUGUCCUCAUCAGAUCACACAUAAACAAUAAGAAGAACCUCUGCAUUGUGACAGAAAAACUAUUAUCUAUUUUGAACAAACUGAACAUAUUUAUUAUUAUUUCAUAAAGAAGAUAGAUCAAAGACGAGCUGUUAGAAGGUGCAGAAUACAUUUAAUUAGAAAUUUAAAACAAUAUAUAGCAACGUUUCAACUUAACUUAUUGUUAGUCAUUAUUAUCAGCCUAAUAUGUUAAUUAUAAUUAAUAAGAAUGAAAGGAAUAUAUCUGAUGUUGAAAUGGAAAAUGUCUAGAAUGCAUUGUUAGACCAAUGUGCAUUUCAAAUAAGCAUUCAUUAUAUUCAUUAUUGUACGACGAAACGUGCAACGCGACUCGCAAGGACACUUUUCGUAAGUAAUCGCGGGCUUUCGCGAGGAAGCCGGGAAGCCGGGUAGCCGGGCCUCUUCCCGGGAAGCGCGCGCGGUCUCGCCUGGUCUCGCCGCUCGCGGUGCGCGACGCGACGCGAGGAAACGGCGGCAGCUCUCGGUGAAGACCGGAGGGAGAGGAGGCGAUCGGGAGAGAGCGAGCGAGUGAGAGCAUUGUGGUCGCUGACCCGGCCGGAACGUUGACUCCAUGUAGUCAGUCCCCUCUUUACAUUUUCCCCGGGUCUUGCCGUGUAGCCGUACCUUCGAUUACGUGGAGUUACCUUACCCCUUCCCGCUCGUCUCGCCUCACCUCGUCCAGCAUUCGCCCGCGGCCAGCGGCCCGCGUAUCUCGCAGCGUUCCCGAGGAAUCCUCCAAUUUCCUUCCCCCUCGCGACCCUCCUACGUAUUUUUCCCCUCGACUUUUCCGAUGGCUAUCUUACUUUCCGUUUUACCUCCUCCGCCGAUCGCCGUUACUCGGAGGAGUACCGCGCCGCGCCGACUUCGCCCAUUCAUUUUUCCUCGUACGUAUGUAUUUCUACUAUUUCUAGUUUUUCUCAUCGGCAGAGAAGGAAGAAGAGUAAUCUUCAACGGGAAAUGCAAAACGCCGUUGUCAAUUUCGAUAUUCCUGCGCGACGUCGACGUUGAUAAAUGUGUUAAAAGCGAGAUUUCAAUACACCCUUGACAUUUUUAUAUCAUGUAUAUGUCUUUUAUAAUUGUCUUUUAUAUUUAACAAAUAUAUUUAUUACAUUACGUGCAUGACUGAUAUUAAUAUAUGUAUAUAUUACUUAACUUAACAGUGUAAAUAUAUAUGUAUAGUAUGUUUAAUUCAA